rfam:Nicotiana attenuata strain TT scaffold07659, whole genome shotgun sequence.
GGAUGCGAUCAUACCAGCACUAACGCGACGACUCCAUCAAGACCUACGAGUUAAGCGUGCUUGGGCGAGAGUAGUACUAGGAUGGGUGACCCCCUGGGAAGUCCUCGUGUUGCAUCCC